UGGGGGAUAUUGCACAAUGGGCGAAAGCCUGAUGCAGCGACGCCGCGUGGGGGAUGAAGGCCUUCGGGUUGUAAACUUCUUUUGCUCUGAACAAGGCAUGCCUUUGGGGUGUGUUGAGUGUAGGGGUUGAUUAGCGCCGGCUAACUACGUGCCAGCAGCCGCGGUAAUACGUAGGGCGCGAGCGUUGUCCGGAAUUAUUGGGCGUAAAGGGCUUGUAGGUGGCUGGUUGCGUCUGUCGUGAAAGCUCAUGGCUUAACUGUGGGUUUGCGGUGGGUACGGGCUGGCGUGAGUGCAGUAGGGGAGGCUGGAAUUCCUGGUGUAGCGGUGGAAUGCGCAGAUAUCAGGAGGAAUACCGGUGGCGAAGGCGGGUCUCUGGGCUGUUACUGACGCUGAGGAGCGAAAGCGUGGGGAGCGAACAGG
rnacentral:rRNA from 1 species